ensembl:snRNA U4 U4 spliceosomal RNA
AGCUUUGAGCAGUGGCAGUAUCGUAGCCAAUGAGGUUUAUCCAAGGCACAAUUAUUGCUAAUUGAAAACUUUUCCCAAUACCUCACCAUAGUGACUUGAAAUAUAGUCGGCACUGGCAAUUUUUGGUAGUCUCUACAGAGA